UGUCUCCGUGCCGGCGGGCUGGAAUGGUUCUAUCUUCCCAGUGGAGUUCCAGGAUUCCAUGAGUGCAGCAGGUUUAGACAUCGACAAGGCAGGCGAAGAAAACGAAGACGGAGAUGGAGAUGGAGACAGAUACGAGGUGUCCUCUGAAACUACGAGUGGCUAGAAUAGACACAGAGGGUUAGGAUUGGGAAAGCACCUGAUGAGAGGGAGAUGAACCCUGACAGGAAGACAACUCUUGAAUAAUCUGUGCGCGCUUACGCAGAGAAGGGGGAUGGCAUGUUGUCAAUCCCAAAAUUGGCACAAGUUUUGAUUCAUUGGAAGAGGCUUAUGAGUUCUACAACCUAUACUCAUGGGAAACUGGGUUUGGGUUUUGCACGAUCUGCAGAGUGCAGGGCCACAAGGGUGCAACUUGCCCCCAAAGAGGUGAUGUGCCGAAGGCUCCAAGGAAAUUAUCGAAAUUCACAAACUGUGGGGUGGUCGGCCAUCGUUGCAAUGCUUGCGGCGCUAAAAAGAGCGGUCCAUUCGAACCAAACUUCCUCUAGACUAAGGAUUGAUGUGCUGAUCCUUUGUAAUGUUUCUUCCCAGAAAAUCCCAAAUGGUGCAAACUUUGUCUUUCUUGUAGUGGAACAACUUGCCUGAACUGAUUGUGAUGUUCCAGCUGGUUUACUUU